GGCGGUAUGCUUAACACAUGCAAGUCGAACGGCAGCAUGAUGUGUAGCAAUACACAUUGAUGGCAAGUGGCGGACGGGUGAGUAACGCGUAUGGAUCUGCCCUGUAGCGGGGGACAACCCGGGGAAACCCGGGCUAAUACCGCAUACUACUCUGAGGAGGAAAGCUGGGAGCAAUCCUGGCGCUAUGGGAGGAACCUGCGUCCGAUUAGCUAGCUGGUGAGGUAAAGGCUCACCAGGGCGAUGAUCGGUACCUGGUCUGAGAGGAUGACCACCCACACUGGGACUGAGACACGGCCCANACUCCUACGGGAGGCAGCAGUGGGGAAUAUUGGACAAUGGGGGCAACCCUGAUCCAGCAAUACCGCGUGUGUGAAGAANGCCUUCGGGUUGUACACCACU
rnacentral:rRNA from 1 species